GCCGGCGUAGCUCAACUGGUAGAGCACUUGAUUUGUAAUCAAGGGGUUGCGGGUUCGAGUCCUGCCGCCGGCACCA
rnacentral:tRNA from 1 species